AAAUCAGAUGACCUAUUGUCUAUCGGAUUUGUUUUGUUUUUAUGAGGCGUUUUUGUAUUGUUUUAUUUUUGCCAGAAAAUUGAGGACGAGUGUUAAUAUAUCACCAAUGGGCUAUUUUGCUAUGGGGCGGAUGGAUAUGAUGAUGAAAUUCUUGCUGAACAGGAGCUGCCUCGUCUGCGGGUCCUCGUUUCUCGCCCCGCAAUGGCAUCAUUCGACGGCGGUCGUCCAUCGAGAUAUGCUCAUCACUUGUAUGGCUACAAAGGAUAAUAAACUUUUGAAAGAGAAGAAGUUACAUCUUCUUGGAACUUCAUCUGAUGUAAUGCACUACUUGAAAAUGACAAAACCUGACCAAGUUUACGAUAAGUUAAUUGAGUGUAAAGUAACGCAGAGUUACCCCGAAGUGGAAGUCUUGCAUCUUUUGGCCAAUUUUUUUUCAAUCGGUGGACAUGUCAAAGGCUUAGAGGCCGUCAAAAGCAUCUGUCAGAUUAAGUGUUUAAAAGAGUUUAAAAGGUCUUCAAAUUUUGCCCACUACACCGCCCAGCUGUUCUGGCAAAAGGGCAACUUCAAAAAGGCCAUGGAUGAGUUUACAAAUGUGACUAAGAGGCUGCCCUCUUUGAGGCCGGAAGUGUCAAAGAUGAUCAGGAAUCUUAUCAAGACAUCCGUACCCAUUAUUAGCAGAGCAUCAGUCAAAGUGAUAUAUGAUUCAUCAUUGCAGUAUUCAGUACAAAAUGACGACUAUUCUGUGCUGGGGGCAUUCUGGCUUUCACUUUUUACUAGCCACUGGCACGAAGACCAACAAACCUCCGUCCAACUUCUCCUCACUCACAAAGGCUUACAAGAACAUAUCGAAAUGCAGAUUCCUCAGAUAUCGAAAACUUUCCUUACUCGUCACAACAUUGCUGAUUAUCAGAGGCUCUUGGAAUGUGUCUUGCAAUGCAACAUGGAAAAUUCAAGUGCACAUCUCCUCAGAGCUCUAUUUGACUACUAUUCCUGCACAAUUUGGAUAUUUUGGGUUUAUUUUAUGACAGCUGGAGGCAGAUGUCGGGUUCAGCAUCUAGAGAUGGCUUUGUUAUAUACUUUUGUUGACUGUAGAUAGAAAAUCUGGAUUUCUGGAUUCGCAUAGGCGUCCAAGUUCCGCAUUGAAAAAAGGAAGUAAAACUUCUGAAACGUUCACAAAUAAAAACAAAAAAAGUUCUGACUGCAUUCCUAAAACAACCAUUAAUAAUAAUUAAAAAUAUUCAUCACAUCUUAAUUAAGGAUCCAUCAUUAACAAUUAAAUAAAGUAGGUUACGUCAAAGGAUGCAUUGCAGUUGUAAAAUGUUGCGACGCAAUCGAUGUGAAGCUGGCAAUGGACCAAUUGUACAAAU